rnacentral:rRNA from 1 species
UGGGGAAUUUUGGACAAUGGGCGCAAGCCUGAUCCAGCCAUGCCGCGUGCGGGAAGAAGGCCUUCGGGUUGUAAACCGCUUUUGUCAGGGAAGAAAUCUUCUGAGUUAAUACCUCGGGAGGAUGACGGUACCUGAAGAAUAAGCACCGGCUAACUACGUGCCAGCAGCCGCGGUAAUACGUAGGGUGCAAGCGUUAAUCGGAAUUACUGGGCGUAAAGCGUGCGCAGGCGGUUUUGUAAGACAGAGGUGAAAUCCCCGGGCUCAACCUGGGAACUGCCUUUGUGACUGCAAGGCUUGAGUGCGGCAGAGGGGGAUGGAAUUCCGCGUGUAGCAGUGAAAUGCGUAGAUAUGCGGAGGAACACCGAUGGCGAAGGCAAUCCCCUGGGCCUGCACUGACGCUCAUGCACGAAAGCGUGGGGAGCAAACAGGAUUAGAUAGCCCUGGUAGUCCACGCCCUAAACGAUGUCAACUGGUUGUUGGGAAGGUUCCUUCUCAGUAACGUAGCUAACGCGUGAAGUUGACCGCCUGGGGAGUACGGCCGCAAGGUUGAAACUUAAAUGAAUUGACGGGGUCAUAGC